rnacentral:rRNA from 1 species
GUCCUUUAGAUGUUAAUUUGAGGUCUAACCUGCCCACUGAAUUAUUUUAAAUGGCCGCAGUAAUUUGACUGUGCAAAGGUAGCAUAAUCAUUAGUUUUUUAAUUGAAAGCUUGUAUGAAAGGUUGGACGAAGUAAAAUCUGUCUCUAAUUAAAUUAAUUUAGAAUUUAACUUUUAAGUUAAAAGGCUUAAAUUUAACUAAAAGACGAGAAGACCCUAUAGAUCUUUAUAUUUAAAUUAAUAAAUUUAAUUAAGAAUUUUUAAAAUUUUAUUAAUUUAAUUAUUUUAUUGGGGUAAUAUAAAGAUUAAAAUAAUUCUUUUUUUUUAUUAACAUUAAUUUAUGAUUUUGAUGAUCCAAUUAUAUUGAUUUUAAGAUUAAGUUACCUUAGGGAUAACAGCGUAAUUUUUUUAGAGAGUUCUUAUCGAUAAGAAAGUUUGCGACCUCGAUGUUGGAUUAAAGAUUAUUUUAGGUGUAGAAGCUUAAAAAUUUUGGUCUGUUCGACCAUUAAAUCUUUACAUGAUCUGAGUUCAGACCGGUGUAAGCCAGGUCGGUUUCUAUCUUUAGUAAAUUAAAAUAUUUUAGUACGAAAGGACCAAUUAUUUAAUAUAAAUAUUUAAAUUUUGAUUAUUAUUAA